rnacentral:lncRNA from 13 species
AUGAAUAUAGAUCUAUACAUGUUCUAUAUUACAUUAUAUUACAUACAUGAAUAUACAGCUAUAGGUGGAAAGGUAUAUCUUUGUAGAAAGGUAUAUCUUUGUAGAAAGGUAUAUCUUUGUAGAAAGGUAUAUCUUUGUAGAAAGGUAUAUCUUUGUAGAAAGGUACAUCUUUGUAGAAAGGUACAUCUUUGUAGAAAGGUACAGCGGUCAGACAUACCUGACAGAUGGAGAGAAGAACUGACUUCAGUUAGAAGUAUUUUCCACUGAUCAACAGAAACGUGACAAUAGGAGAGAGAGAGAGAGAGAGAGGGAGAGAGAGAAGGAGAAGGAGAGAAUGGAGGAGGUGUGGGACCCUACAGUGUGUAUUAAUAUCCAGAGAUAACAGCCUGAACCCUCUGAUAGGGUGAGGGUAUUCUCUUAUCAUCCAUCCCUAAAAAGGACUCUUCUGGAGGCAGACCUGUCCCUGACACACACACACANNNNNNNNNNCCAGUGCACCUCCCCAGCCCGGUGCGUACUGUGCCUGCUCCCUGCACCUGCCCUGAAGAGCCAGAGACUGUCAGGGAGGCAAUGGGGAAGUUGGGAGAGAGAGAGAUGAGAGAGAUGUUGUGCAAGUGUGUUCUGCUCAACAUCCGACCAGAGGAUCUGGUUAGCAGUCUGGUGCAACUUGGGCUGGCUCCACGCUUCUUGCCUCCAAGCGCCUCCCCAGUCCGGUGCGUCCUGUGUCUCCUCCUCGCACUCGCCUGANNNNNNNNNNUACACCAUCACUGUUGAUCCACCCACUGACAUUACAUCAUCACUGCUGAUCCACCCACUGACGUUACACCAUCACUGUUGAUCCACCCACUGACUGUAACGGCAGAUUUCCUCUUCGUCUGAAGAGGAGUAAGGAUCGGACCAAGAUGCAGCGUAGUAAGUGUUCAUGACGAUUUAUUAAAAACGAACUGAGCACUGAAAUACAAAACAAUAAACAAUGUGAGUGAAACGGAAACAGUACCGUGUGGCGACAAACACUCACACGGAAACAAACACCCACAAACCAACAGUGAAACCCAGGCCACCUAAGUAUGAUUCUCAAUCAGAGACAACUAUCGACACCUGCCUCUGAUUGAGAACCAUACUGGUGUCACACCCUGACCAUAGUUUGCUUUGUAUGUUUCUAUGUUUUGUUUGGUCAGGGUGUGAUCUGAGUGGGCAUUCUAUGUUGUGUGUCUAGUUUGUCUGUUUCUGUGUUUCUGAGUGGCCUGAUAUGGUUCUCAAUCAGAGGCAGGAGUUAGUCAUUGUCUCUGAUUGGGAACCAUAUUUAGGUAGCCUGUUUGGUGUUGGGUUUUGUGGGUGAUUGUUCCUGUCUCUGUGUUUGCACCAGAUAGGGCUGUUUUGGUUUUUCACAUUUCUUGUUUUGUUAGUCUAUUCAUGUAUAGUUUCUUUAUUAAAGAACCAUGAAUAAUAACCACGCAGCGCCUCUCCGGCGCUGCUAGAGCCUUCCUCCUCUCCAGCACAGCCGGAGUCUCCCGCCUGUUUGGCGCUGCCAGAGCUCCCGCUCCUCAGCCCAGAGGCGCCAGAGCCCCUCAGCCCAGAGGCGCCAGAGCCCCUCAGCCCAGAGGCGCCAGAUCCCCUCAGCCCAGAGGCGCCAGAUCCCCUCAGCCCAGAGGCGCCAGAUCCCCUCAGCCCAGAGGCGCCAGAUCCCCUCAGCCCAGAGCCCCCGCCCCUCUGUCCAGUGCUUCCGCCCCCCUGUCCAGAGCUUCUGCCCCUCUGUCCGGUGGGGUCAUUUAGAAGGGUCACCGUGGUUAGGAGGCCACGGAAGUGGAAAAUGGGACGGACUGAGACUAUGGUGAAGUGGGGGCCACUACCAGCACCAGAGCCGCCACCGCGGACAGAUGCCCACCCAGACCCUCCCCAAUAGGUUCAGGUUUUGCGGCCGGAGUCCGCACCUUGGGGGGGGUACUGUCACACCCUGACCAUAGUUUGCGUUGUAUGUUUCUAUGUUUUGUUUGGUCAGGGUGUGAUCUGAGUGGGCAUUCUAUGUUGUGUGUCUAGUUUGUCUGUUUCUGUGUUUGGCCUGAUGUGGUUCUCAAUCAGAGGCAGGUGUUAGUCAUUGUCUCUGAUUGGGAACCAUAUUUAGGUAGCCUGUUUGGUGUUGGGUUUUGUGGGUGAUUGUCCCUGUCUCUGUGUCUGCACCAGAUGGGGCUGGUUUGGUUUUUCACAUUUCUUGUUUUGUUAGUCUAUUCAUGUAUAGUUUCUUUAUUAAAGAACCAUGAAUAAUAACCACGCUGCGUUUUGGUCCGCCUCUCCUUCGACUCAAGAAAACCGUUACAACUGGGCUGAACACAAAAACCAACAGAAAAACAAACAGACUGCCCACCCCAACUCACGCCCUGACCAUACUAAAUAAAGACAAAAUAAAGGAAAUAAAGGUCAGAACGUGACACUGACAUUACACCAUCACUGUUGAUCCACCCACUGAUAAUUAGCAUCACAUGUGGUCCACCCGCUCCUUUCGCAAUGCCCCCUUUCAGACACACUCCAAGUAUGCUGUUUCCCAUACUUGGCCAUCGGGAGUUCCAUUGGAAUAUGUGGAUGGCGUCAUCGCUAUCUUGGACUGAAUUAGGUUCCGGUACUCAUUUUGUGUGCCUGUACUGUUUAUAUUUAGGAGCAGGAGCACCACAAUACCUUGGAGCUGAUAUUCUAUAAGCGGAAUAAGAGCUCAAGCAGCAGAACAUUUGAGGUGCAGGAAUUCAGCUCCUGGCCAAGUCACGAACUGGCUAAAUGGCACAACCGGUUACAUGGCGUCCCUUGAAGGCAAGAACAAGAUUUGUCAGGAGAAGUGCAGCAUUAUAGCAAGGAGAUGUAUACUUGGAAUACGGAGGAGGAAUGGAAGGAAAAAGAGAGGUCUAAGAGAGAGAGGGAGGAAGAGGAGGUCUAAGAGAGAGAGGGAGGAAGAGGGUGAGCUUGAGUCUGUUAAAAAUGGUGAACAAAGGGAGAUGGUUUGUUAAAGAAGAAUGGUAGAAAGUGUAAGCAGAGUGAGCUGUACGCCGGAUCGAAGAUAGGAGGAGAAAAUGGAAGUGAAUGAGGGCAAAGUAUUGGAGGUGGUAUGUGUGGUGAAGGUCUCGGGGCCCGAGGCUUACACCAAGGGUCAGGAUAAAGAUGAGUCUGUGACAAUAGGAGGGAAAUUUGGGAAAAAUAAAAAGUGGACCCCUGCCUUUUGGCUGACAUUUGUGGGUUCAGGGUGGGUGAAAACAGUUAGGUGCUGUGGCAUCAAUGAGGGCAACCAGAAGUGAUCUUUUUUGUUAAUUGUUUCUGUUUCUGCUGGUCAGGGGGAGCAGGUGCUCCGUGUUAAAUGAAUGAGGACAAGAGAGGUGAAUUGUUUUGCUCUCAAGAAAAGGGCACCAUUGAGAGGUUAUUUAUUUUACCAAGUAAGUUGACUGAGAACACAUUCUCAUUUACAGCAACAACCUGGGGAAUAGUUACAGGGGAGAGGGAUGAAUGAGCCAAUUGUAAACUGGGGAUGGUUAGGUGACCAUGAUGGUAUGUGGGCCAGAUUGGGAAUUUAGCCAGGACACCGGGGUUAACACCCCUACUCUUACAAUAAGUGCCAUGGGAUCUUUAGUGACCACAGAGAGUCAGGACACCCAUUUAACAUCCCAUCCAAAAGACAGCACCCUACACUGGGCAAUGUUCCCAAUCACUGCCCUGGGGUAUUGAGAUAUAUUUUUAGACCAGAAGAAAUGGUCCAUCCUACUGGCCCUCCAACACCACUUCCAGCAGAAUCUGGUCUCCCAUCCAGGAACUGAUCAGGACCAACCCUGUGUAGCUUCAGAAGCAAGCCAGCAGUGGAAUGCAGGGUGGUAUGCUGGGGUAGAGGUAAAUGUCAAAGUUGACCAACUGAAGGGGAACAUUCCCGGUGUUUGUGAUACGUUGUCUGAGUAUUGACGUUGAGUCUUUGCCCAACAAAGAGAUGGUAGGAUAUAUAAGUUAUUCCAUACAAGCUUUGUGCCGAAUACACUACGUUGUUACAGGUGUCAAGCUUAUGGGCAUGUGGCAGCAGUGUGUAGGAGGGAGGUUCCUAUGUGGCAGCAGUGUGUAGGAAGGAGGUUCCUAGAUGUUCCUAUGUGGCAGCAGUGUGUAGGAGGGAGGUUUCUAUGUGUGAGAAGUGUGCCGAAGGGAAUGAGACAAAGGAAUGUGUAGCAUUGGGGAAAGUAGUGGUAUGUGUUAACUGUAGGGGUGCCCAUGUGGCUGGGGAUCAGNNNNNNNNNNUUACACCAUCACUGUUGAUCCACCCACUGACAUUACAUCAUCACUGCUGAUCCACCCACUGACGUUACACCAUCACUGUUGAUCCACCCACUGACUGUAACGGCAGAUUUCCUCUUCGUCUGAAGAGGAGUAAGGAUCGGACCAAGAUGCAGCGUAGUAAGUGUUCAUGACGAUUUAUUAAAAACGAACUGAGCACUGAAAUACAAAACAAUAAACAAUGUGAGUGAAACGGAAACAGUACCGUGUGGCGACAAACACUCACACGGAAACAAACACCCACAAACCAACAGUGAAACCCAGGCCACCUAAGUAUGAUUCUCAAUCAGAGACAACUAUCGAC